rnacentral:rRNA from 1 species
UACGGAGGGUGCAAGCAUUAAUCGGAUUUAUUGGGCGUAAAGGGCGCGUAGGCGGAAAAGCAAGUCAGAUGUGAAAUCCCGGGGCUCAACCUCGGAACAGCAUUUGAAACUACUUAUCUAGAGGGUAGGAGGAGAAAACGGAAUUCCACAAGUAGCGGUGAAAUGCGUAGAUAUGUGGAAGAACACCGGUGGCGAAGGCGGUUUUCUAUCUUAUUCCUGACGCUGAGGCGCGAAAGCAAGGGGAUCAAACAGG